rnacentral:rRNA from 1 species
CACGUAGGGCGCAAGCGUUGUCCGGAAUUAUUGGGCGUAAAGAGCUCGUAGGCGGUCUGUUACGUCUGCUGUGAAAACCCAGGGCUUAACCCUGGGCUUGCAGUGGAUACGGGCAGACUAGAGGCAGGUAGGGGAGAAUGGAAUUCCCGGUGUAGCGGUGAAAUGCGCAGAUAUCGGGAGGAACACCGGUGGCGAAGGCGGUUCUCUGGGCCGGACCUGACGCUGAGGAGCGAAAGCGUGGGGAGCGAACAGG